ensembl:lncRNA
UUUUUGAUCCAGGAGGGAAAGAGAGAGGAGGUCACUGGUUGAUUCUUUGCCACGCUUCUGACUCCUGGGCUUUUAUUGAUAAAAGAAUAAAUAGAUAAACGCUUCAGAUGUGUGUCCCCCCCCCCCCCAGAGAAGCUGUUACUGCUACUGAGUCAGGCCGCAGGCACAGAGUUAAGCUGCAAAAGUAGGAGAGGUUGCAGAGACCAAGGACAGGGUUAGAUCCAGGUGAACAAAAGGAUGGAUAGUUGGAUGUCAGAUCCAGAGGAAAGAGCAGACUGACAGACAGACAGACAGAUCCGAGUAAGACCAAUCAACAACAGGAAACAAGCUGAGCUGACGCCCCUGGGACACUCCAGUGUUUGCUGCCUGUGUACCAGUUAUCACAUGACAGGUCAACAUCACAGUGCUUCUUUUCAUGGAGCCCAGGAGAAGAGUUGCUCCCAUUCUUCAGCCUGAUACAUCUGCACCAGCAGCUGUUGUUCUGCCAUCCCUCCAGCCUUCCCUCACAGCCUCCUUGGUGUUUUUCCAGUUCUAAGCACCAGCUGGUCCACAGGCAGAAUUCCAACACCAUGACAAUGGAAGACACAUGCCUGUAGAGGUCAGGCUCUGGCACAACAUGGCUUCUGCCACAUUUUACAGAUACAACUGAGUCGAAUCACAGGGAUUUCUCAGAUCCAAGAUGUAAGGAAAGUGAUUCAAAUCCCAAUGGAAGAGUUAUUAAAUAUUGGGUCAGUGUUUUCCAACUUGUAGCAGAUGGCUCUUUGCCAACAUGUGGUCAGAGCUGUGGUGAGCUCCUAAAGGUGAACUUGCUGAGUCAAAUAUAUUAGCAGUUUCCCGAGACAUUGCCACAUUACACUUCACAGAAGUAUUGAUUUUGAAUUGAACCUCAAUGUGUGAGGCUACCAGACCAGGUUUUCCUAUGCCUCACAAUCUUCCUUUGCCACUUUGAUAGUUAAAAGUGGCAUCUCCCUGUACUUCUAACUCAUACUUCUCACAGGAUGAGAGGGAUUGGACAGAUCUUACGUAGCUAUAUUUUCUCUUCUUGAAAUUGGUAUUCAUCAAUCGUCCCCUUGGGUUAUUGCCUUGUUGUCUUAGGGUAUACUAAAGAACUUACAUGUGCUAUUAUAGAUGUGCUUGGUACCAACUCUGGGACAGUUUGCAAUGUUUACUCUGUGAACUUGAAGUGUUCUUAGAUACCUAACUUUGAUCCUAAUGAAGUCUACAAAUCCUCUCCUCCCCUGGGAAAGUCCGAUGGUAUAAGAGAUGAUAAUGCCUUUUAAAUAAGUAAAGUGUGCUAAUUUCACUCAUUAUGUGCAGAUUCACUGACUUUUAAUAAGCUGGUUAUAAAGUAGGGGGUUCUCAUGAUUCCAUGGAAGUUCAAAAUUCUUCUGGAACAAGUCAGUAAUGAGAUGAUACAACUAAGAACCAGUCAGUAGAUUCAGUAUAGGGGCCCCAUGCCUGCCCCAGCAAUUGGAAUGCUGAAGUGGGAUUGUGAGUUCAAGGUUAUUCUUGGCUACAUGCAAGAGGGACCUUGGCAGGAAGCCCCAUAGAGAGUGAGGGACAAACACACCGUGCAGACAGAGCUUAUGUGAGAAGUUUU